CUACGGGACGCAGCAGUGAGGAAUUUUGCGCAAUGGGCGAAAGCCUGACGCAGCAACGCCGCGUGAGUGAUGAAGGCCUUCGGGUCGUAAAGCUCUGUCAAGUGGGAAGAACCUAUGUAAUGUUAAUAUCAUUAUAUACUGACGGUACCACUGAAGGAAGCACCGGCUAACUCCGUGCCAGCAGCCGCGGUAAUACGGGGGGUGCAAGCGUUAUUCGGAAUCAUUGGGCGUAAAGGGCACGUAGGCGGCCUGGUAAGUCAGAUGUGAAAGCCCGGGGCUUAACCCCGGAAGUGCAUUUGAUACUGUCAGGCUUGAGUAUGGGAGAGGGAAGUGGAAUUCCUGGUGUAGAGGUGAUAUUCGUAGAUAUCAGGAGGAACACCGGUGGCGAAGGCGACUUCCUGGACCAAUACUGACGCUGAGGUGCGAAGGCGUGGGUAGCAAACAGGAUUAGAUACCCCAGUAGUC
rnacentral:rRNA from 1 species